rnacentral:rRNA from 1 species
AGUGAACGCUGGCGGUAGGCCUAACACAUGCAAGUCGAACGGCAGCACAGUAAGAGCUUGCUCUUACGGGUGGCGAGUGGCGGACGGGUGAGGAAUACAUCGGAAUCUACUUUUUCGUGGGGGAUAACGUAGGGAAACUUACGCUAAUACCGCAUACGACCUACGUGUGAAAGCAGGGGAUCUUCUGACCUUGCGCGAUUGAAUGAGCCGAUGUCGGAUUAGCUAGUUGGCGGGGUAAAGGCCCACCAAGGCGACGAUCCGUAGCUGGUCUGAGAGGAUGAUCAGACACACUGGAACUGAGACACGGUCCAGACUCCUACGGGAGGCAGCAGUGGGGAAUAUUGGACAAUGGGAGAAAGCCUGAUCCAGACAUACCGCGUGGGUGAAGAGGGCCUUCGGGUUGUAAAGCCCUUUUGUUGGGAAAGAAAAGCAGCAGGUUAAUACCCCGCUGUUCUGACGGUACCCAAAGAAUAAGCACCGGCUAACUUCGU